rnacentral:misc_RNA from 1 species
GAUGAAGAACGCAGCGAAAUGCGAUAAGUAAUGUGAAUUGCAGAAUUCAGUGAAUCAUCGAAUCUUUGAACGCACAUUGCGCCCGCCAGCAUUCUGGCGGGCAUGCCUGUUCGAGCGUCAUUUCAACCCUCGAGCCCCCCCGGGGGCCUCGGUGUUGGGGGACGGCACACCAGCCGCCCCCGAAAUGCAGUGGCGACCCCGCCGCAGCCUCCCCUGCGUAGUAGCACACACCUCGCACCGGAGCGCGGAGGCGGUCACGCCGUAAAACGCCCAACUUUCUUAGAGUUGACCUCGGAUCAGGUAGGAAUACCCGCUGAACUUAAGCAUAUCAAUAAGCGGACGA